rnacentral:RNase_P_RNA from 1 species
CUAGAUGGCCGGAUGGCCGCUGCUCGGAUUGAUGUUGGGGCAGAGGAAAGUCCGGGCUCCACGAAAACAAGGUGCCGGGUAACUCCCGGCGGGGGCAACCCCAGGGAAAGUGUCACAGAAAACAAACCGCCUGGUGCUUUGGCGCCGGUAAGGGUGAAAAGGUGCGGUAAGAG